rnacentral:rRNA from 1 species
UAGAAGUUACUUCGGUACAUCGGUGACAGGUGGUGCAUGGUUGUCGUCAGCUCGUGUCGUGAGAUGUUGGGUUAAGUCCCGCAACGAGCGCAACCCCUAUUGUUAGUUGCCAUCAUUCAGUUGGGCACUCUAGCGAGACUGCCGGUAAUAAACCGGAGGAAGGUGGGGAUGACGUCAAAUCAUCAUGCCCCUUAUGACCUGGGCUACACACGUGCUACAAUGGUUGGUACAACGAGUUGCGAGUCGGUGACGGCGAGCUAAUCUCUUAAAGCCAAUCUCAGUUCGGAUUGUAGGCUGCAACUCGCCUACAUGAAGUCGGAAUCGCUAGUAAUCGCGGAUCAGCACGCCGCGGUGAAUACGUUCCCGGGCCUU